rnacentral:rRNA from 1 species
GGAGGAAAAGAAACCAACUGGGAUUACCUUAGUAACGGCGAGUGAAGCGGUAAAAGCUCAAAUUUGAAAUCUGGUACUUUCAGUGCCCGAGUUGUAAUUUGUAGAAUUUGUCUUUGAUUAGGUCCUUGUCUAUGUUCCUUGGAACAGGACGUCAUAGAGGGUGAGAAUCCCGUUUGGCGAGGAUACCUUUUCUCUGUAAGACUUUUUCGAAGAGUCGAGUUGUUUGGGAAUGCAGCUCAAAGUGGGUGGUAAAUUCCAUCUAAAGCUAAAUAUUGGCGAGAGACCGAUAGCGAACAAGUACAGUGAUGGAAAGAUGAAAAGAACUUUGAAAAGAGAGUGAAAAAGUACGUGAAAUUGUUGAAAGGGAAGGGCAUUUGAUCAGACAUGGUGUUUUUUGCAUGCACUCGCCUCUCGUGGGCUUGGGCCUCUCAAAAAUUUCACUGGGCCAACAUCAAUUCUGGCAGCAGGAUAAAUCAUUAAGAAUGUAGCUACUUCGGUAGUGUUAUAGCUUUUUGGAAUACUGUUAGCCGGGAUUGAGGACUGCGCUU